rnacentral:rRNA from 1 species
UGGGGAAUAUUGGGCAAUGGGCGCAAGCCUGACCCAGCAACGCCGCGUGAAGGACGAAGGCCUUCGGGUUGUAAACUUCUUUGAUCAGGGACGAAUAAAUGACGGUACCUGAAGAACAAGCCACGGCUAACUACGUGCCAGCAGCCGCGGUAAUACGUAGGUGGCAAGCGUUAUCCGGAUUUACUGGGUGUAAAGGGCGUGUAGGCGGUCUUGCAAGUUGGAUGUGAAAUUUCCGGGCUUAACCCGGACGCUGCAUCCAAAACUGCAAGACUUGAGUACUGGAGAGGAUAGUGGAAUUCCUAGUGUAGCGGUAAAAUGCGUAGAUAUUAGGAGGAACACCAGUGGCGAAGGCGGCUAUCUGGACAGUAACUGACGCUGAGGCGCGAAAGCGUGGGGAGCAAACAGG